rnacentral:SRP_RNA from 1 species
GCCAGGCAUGGUGGUGCAUGCCUGUAGUCCAAGCUACUUGGGAGGCUGAUGCUGGAGGAUCACUUGAACGUGGGAGGUGUAGGUUAUAGUGAGCUGUUAUUGUGCCACUGUACUCUAGCCUGGGUGCCAAAGUGAGACCCUGUCUCCA